AAAGUAACUUGUCAGAUUCUUGUGGCUUGAAAAAGGUGUUGGAUGGCUCAGUUUCCUUCUCAGCUUCCAAAUUGUAGAGGGACAAGGUGGAGUUUUGUACUUCUAUGAAAUGAUGUACAUUUUGCUGGCAUUUGCCCCCUAAGAAGAAUAAGGACCUGCACUCAAAAAAGAAACAAGUAAAGAAAAAUCCAAAGUGAAGGAUCCUGGAGGAACCCCUUGAGAGCUGAAGAUCACCCUUCCCCUUUCACCUUCACGUGAAAGACACGUCAUUUACUCUGCUUCUAGCAGGUCAGCAGUGCUGUAA
rnacentral:lncRNA from 12 species